UGCCCCUGGAAAAUGCUGUGUGGUCUGUAGACUGGAAAAGAUUAAAGCCCUGGGGCUACACUAUCUGCUCUGAUUUAGGAGCUUGCUGAUCCACGGUUGUGUGUGUUAUCUGUUGUGCCAUUCUUUCUCCAGCACAAGAUUAACCUUGCAUUCUCGCAUAUGGGUAUCUCCCAGUCCUCCUCCCACCACACGAGGCCAUCUGACCCCCAAGAGCUCAGAUAUUUUCCUGCUGGCAUCCAGCAGUUCCGCUUCUCUCCAAAUUUUUCUUCACAUCAUCAGAUGACCUGAUAUUUGUUUGUGUGCACGUGAAUGUCCUGGUUAAUGGCAGGUUCCGGGAUGAGGCCUCUGAGAGGCCACAACAGCACCUCACAUGUAAGACAAAUAUUUCCUGCCCUUCCUGUGUUCCUAUAAACAUAAUCAGGGAGAUAUUUUAUUUAAUUUCCGUAAAGAUCUGUGUAAGGGAGGCCUAAGAUGUUUGUUAGUACGAAAAUAAAUAAAAGGUGGGGGGUGAGGUGGGAAGAAGAGCGUGAUUGUGAGGCAAAAAGCUGUAUUUACCGCACAGAGAAGUAUGUGGUGUUGGUUUUGCUGUGAGUUCUUCUGCUCUGUGAAGUCACCUUCCUGACAUGGGGAGUCACUUUUGAGUAUGUGGUGAAGGGGUGAUCCACACCACGUAAAUGAGGUUGGUAAAGACCUCUGGAGAGCGUCUGGUCCAACUUCUUGGUCCAGACAAGGUACGAUUUUAAAGUGCAUCCAAUCAAGUUUUAAAUAUCUCCACGGAUGGAGAUUCCAAAACCGCUGGGCAGCUUCUUCCUGUGGUAAAAAUCCUUAUUCUCAUGGUAUUUUUCCCCCUUGUAUCUAAUCUAAAUUUCCCUGGUAGCAGCUGCUGCCUCCCAUCCUCUCACCGCACACCUCCAAGCAGAGCCUGGCCCUGCCUUUCCUUUCCUCUCCCACUCGGCAGUCGCAGGCUGCAGCACGGUCCCCAUUGACCCAGCUCUUCUGAAGGCCGAAGGAGCCCAGCUUGCUCAGCACCCCCCUACGCCGUGUGCUCCAGCCCCGUCACCUUGCUGGCCCUCCACUCCAGGCUGUCCGCACCCGCCUUGUACAAGGGAGCCCAAAGCUGGGCACAGCACUCCCAGGGCAGGCUGACAAGUGCUCAACAUGGGGCAAUAAUUACUUCCCUCAGCCUGCUGGCUACACACUUGCUAAAACGGACCUGUGUCUGGCGUUGUAUAACAAAGAGAAGACGGAGGUACUCCACAGUCAUUCAGGUCCAGGUAUUUGUCUGUGACAGUCACUACGUGCUGCUGUUAUCAAUGGCCUUGUGAGAGAUUUCUGAAUACCACUGAGUACACCGCUUGGAGCUGUAUAAUUUCCAUGCACUGCUCAUUUCAGUGAAGAAUUAUAAAGUUUGCGUCUGGUUACAAAGGAAAUGGGUAAGAAAGAUGCAUAUGAAAGAAAGCCAUAGACAAGGUUAACGAGGCAUUCUAAGAACUCAUUCAUACAGAAACCAAAAUGAGAAACUUUCUGAGAAUAG
rnacentral:lncRNA from 1 species